GGCCACAUGGCGCAAUGGUAGCGCGUUGCUCUCCUACUGCCUGAUUUCAGCCAGUGAAGCAGAGGUUGCAGAUUCGAGUUCUGCUGUGGUCG